UUAUUAAUAGUUAAUUCAUAACACCAAAAUGCAAUUUUGGGAUAGGCUAUUUAAAGUCUUAAUAAA
rnacentral:tRNA from 1 species